GGGUCGUUAGCUCAGUUGGUAGAGCAGUUGACUUUUAAUCAAUUGGUCGCAGGUUCGAAUCCUGCACGACCAACCA
rnacentral:tRNA from 3 species